GAUGAACGCUAGCUACAGGCUUAACACAUGCAAGUCGAGGGGCAGCACAGUGUAGCAAUACAUGGGUGGCGACCGGCGCACGGGUGCGUAACGCGUAUCCAACCUUCCCGUUACUCUUGGAUAGCCUUCCGAAAGGGAGAUUAAUACAAGAUGGUAUUCAAAUUCCGCAUGUUAUUUGAAUUAAAGAUUUAUCGGUAACGGAUGGGGAUGCGUGACAUUAGAUAGUAGGCGGGGUAACGGCCCACCUAGUCUACGAUGUCUAGGGGUUCUGAGAGGAAGGUCCCCCACACUGGAACUGAGACACGGUCCAGACUCCUACGGGAGCAGCAGUGAGGAAUAUUGGUCAAUGGUCGAAGGACUGAACCAGCCAUGCCGCGUGAAGGUGACGGCCCUAUGGGUCUUAAACUUCUUUUGUAAGGGAGCAAUAAGAUCUACGUGUAGAUUGAUGAGAGUACCUUACGAAUAAGCAUCGGCUAACUCCGUGCCAGCAGCCG
rnacentral:rRNA from 1 species